rnacentral:rRNA from 1 species
UUCUGGCUCAGGAUGAACGCUAGCUACAGGCUUAACACAUGCAAGUCGAGGGGCAGCAUUGGGAUAGCUUGCUAUUCAGAUGGCGACCGGCGCACGGGUGAGUAACGCGUAUCCAACCUUCCUGCCAGUAGGGAACAGCCCGGCGAAAGUCGGAUUAAUGCCCUAUGUUCUUCAAUGCGGACAUCUAAGUUGAAGGAAAGAUUCAUCGCUGGCAGAUGGGGAUGCGUCCGAUUAGCUUGCCGGCGGGUAACGGCCCACCGGGGCGACGAUCGGUAGGGGUUCUGAGAGGAAGGUCCCCCACACUGGUACUGAGACACGGACCAGACUCCUACGGGAGGCAGCAGUGAGGAAUAUUGGUCAAUGGGCGUAAGCCUGAACCAGCCAAGUAGCGUGCCAGGAUGACGGCCCUACGGGUUGUAAACUGCUUUUAUGCGGGGAUAAAGUGCGGCACGUGUGCCGCUUUGCAGGUACCGCAUGAAUAAGGACCGGCUAAUUCCGUGCCAGCCGCCGC